rnacentral:rRNA from 1 species
AGUGAACGCUGGCGGUAGGCCUAACACAUGCAAGUCGAGCGGCAGCACAGUAAGAGCUUGCUCUUACGGGUGGCGAGUGGCGGACGGGUGAGGAAUACAUCGGAAUCUACUUUUUCGUGGGGGAUAACGUAGGGAAACUUACGCUAAUACAGCAUACGACCUACGGGUGAAAGCAGGGGAUCUUCGGACCUUGCGCGAUUGAAUGGGCCGAUGUCGGAUUAGCUAGUGGGCGGGGUAAAGGCCCACCAAGGCGACGAUCCGUAGCUGGUCUGAGAGGAUGAUCCGCACCACUGGGGGGGAGACACGGUGGGAAAUUUUGCGGGAGGGGGCAGUGCGGAAUCCUGCCAACUGGGGGAAAGAAGGAAGCAUUCAGGCUGCGAGAAUGUUUUUGUUGAAAGAAAAGUAAAAUUGUUUAACCCCCGACGUUAAUGACGGUACCCAAAGAAUAAGCCCCGGCUAACUUCGUG